UGUGACGAAGCGUGAGUGACGGUAAUGGGUAAAGAAGCACCGGCUAACUACGUGCCAGCAGCCGCGGUGAUACGUAGGGUGCGAGCGUUGUCCGGAUUUAUUGGGCGUAAAGGGCUCGUAGGUGGUUGAUCGCGUCGGAAGUGUAAUCUUGGGGCUUAACCCUGAGCGUGCUUUCGAUACGGGUUGACUUGAGGAAGGUAGGGGAGAAUGGAAUUCCUGGUGGAGCGGUGGAAUGCGCAGAUAUCAGGAGGAACACCAGUGGCGAAGGCGGUUCUCUGGGCCUUUCCUGACGCUGAGGAGCGAAAGCGUGGGGAGCGAACAGGCUUAGAUACCCUGGUAGUCCACGCUGUAAACGGUGGGUACUAGGUGUGGGGUCCAUUCCACGGGUUCCGUGCCGUAGCUAACGCUUUAAGUACCCCGCCUGGGGAGUACGGCCGCAAGGCUAAAACUCAAAGGAAUUGACGGGGCCCCGCACAAGCGGCGGAGCAUGCGGAUUAAUUCGAUGCAACGCGUAGAACCUUACCUGGGUUUGACAUGGAUCGGGAGUGCUCAGAGAUGGGUGUGCCUCUUUUGGGGUCGGUUCACAGGUGGUGCAUGGCUGUCGUCAGCUCGUGUCGUGAGAUGUUGGGUUAAGUCCCGCAACGAGCGCAACCCUUGUUCACUGUUGCCAGCACGUUAUGGUGGGGACUCAGUGGAGACCGCCGGGGUCAACUCGGAGGAAGGUGGGGAUGACGUCAAGUCAUCAUGCCCCUUAUGUCCAGGGCUUCACGCAUGCUACAAUGGCUGGUACAGAGAGUGGCGAGCCUGUGAGGGUGAGCGAAUCUCGGAAAGCCGGUCUCAGUUCGGAUUGGGGUCUGCAACUCGACCUCAUGAAGUCGGAGUCGCUAGUAAUCGCAGAUCAGCAACGCUGCGGUGAAUACGUUCCCGGGGCUUGUACACACCGCCCGU
rnacentral:rRNA from 1 species